AUUGAACGCUAGCGGCAAGCCUAACACAUGCAAGUCGAACGAGUGGCGGACGGGUGAGUAAUGUCUGGGAAACUGCCUGAUGGAGGGGGAUAACUACUGGAAACGGUAGCUAAUACCGCAUACCAUCGGAUGUGCCCAGAUGGGCUUAGCUAGUAGGUGUGGUAAAGGCUCACCUAGGCCACGAUCCCUAGCUGGUCUGAGAGGAGGACCAGCCACACUGGGACUGAGACACGGUCCAGUCUCCUACGGGAGGCAGCAGUGGGGAAUUGUGGACAAUGGGGGAAAGCCUGAUGCAGCCAUGCCGCGUGUAUGAAGAAGGCCUUCGGGUUGUAAAGUACUUUUGGCGGGGAGGCGGUAUCCGCAGAAGAAGCACCGGCUAACUACGUGCCAGCAGCCGCGGUAAUAC
rnacentral:rRNA from 1 species